GUGGGCGGUCGCUUGUAGUAGUCGAAACGAAAGGUACCGGGCUAAAUUUAAAUUCCAAACAUCCGUGAUACAGACUUCGGAGAAAAAAUGGCAGACCACCGAUGUGGAUUUUGGAGAGAAUUUCGUCGAGCGAACGAACAGUCUUUGGAGAAGAUUUUUCCACCUUUCGUUCCACGAACUUACUCGUUACGUCCAACUCUUUGCGUUUCUGCACAUUUUAUUUGUUUAACUUUCAUCGCGAAGUUAUUGAUUUGAUGUCUGUAUUCAGGCUUCGAGUUUCUUUCUUCCCGGAGAAACGAAGCGCGAUGAACGAGCCGAUGUUCCUCCCAUCGAGUGUCUGUGUUAAAUCGUUUUUAACAUAAUCGAAUAACAAAUAAUACCAUAGAAAUAACGCGACUGCAGGAAAUAUACGUACACUACGGAUAUUUAUGCACUGGCAGGAAAUUUAAUGGCGCAAAAAUAUACAGAAUCCACAUAAUAUCCAAAACUAUGCAAAAUAUUCGAAGUAAAGUACUCGUUAUAAUAAAAUAAAUCUCCCCUUAGGAUUCAUUUCCUUCUUUACAUUAAUAAACUCCGAAUCCAUCAUAAUCCAAUUAAACCUUAAUCUUCCGAUAAUCGAACAAAAUUGCUAUCGUAAUGAGUGAAAAAAUCGCGCAUCUGUCCAACAGUUUCACCCUUCUCCUUUCUACUUCGCAUCUACCCUCCCUUCCUCUUCCUUCCAUCUUGCUCUGUACCAUUUUCCAAACAUCGUCCAUGCGUUAUGCACGCUACGUGCGGCUACCAGCUACAUGGCUAAGAUCCAGAGAGUGUUCCUGCUAUAUUAAGACCGCCUUAUAUAACGUUCAGUCAUAUCCGCGCGGCUCCCUCUAUGAACCUUUAAUAUGCUGAAACGUGGACGCGCGAGCGCCACUUCCUGCGACGCGGACCUCGCAACGUUGAAGCGCAAAAGUAGUCGCUUGAAUUAGAUUUUCCGAGAAACCUCGUUCGACCAGGUAGCACGGCCAGAGAUUUCCGCCAUGGCGGAAGACAUCGAACGACUUCCGGUUGAACCGUCAAAGAUAGCUGUCGCGCGGCAGACAGCUGAUUGCUGCUGUUGAAAGCGAAACGCCCCUGAUGUGUUCUCAAACGUCGCAUCCUACUUGCGGUAUGAAAUCUGGAGAAAUAGGAAGAGAUACGAGAAAGUACGAACGCAGAAUUAGCCAGGAAAAUCGUAUAACGGUCGAUGGUUAGGACAGCAUCGCUUGAUGAAAAUUGAAGUGUUCUCGUAUGCCUCAUGGACGUUUCUG
rnacentral:misc_RNA from 1 species